GAGCCUGGAGUAGGUUGAACGCUGUCGGCGUGCUUAACACAUGCAAGUAGAACGAUGAAGCCCUUCGGGGUGGAUUAGUGGCGAACGGGUGAGUAACACGUGGGCAAUCUGCCCUUCACUCUGGGACAAGCCCUGGAAACGGGGUCUAAUACCGGAUAACACUCUGUCCCGCAUGGGACGGGGUUAAAAGCUCCGGCGGUCAAGGAUGAGCCCGCGCCCUAUCAGCUUGUUGGUGGGGUAAUGGCCUACCAAGGCGACACGGGUAGCCGGCCUGAGAGGGCACCGGCCACACUGGGACUGAACACGCCAACUCCUACGAGGCAGCAGUGGGAAUAUUGCACAAUGGGCGAAAGCCUGAUGCA
rnacentral:rRNA from 1 species